AGUGAACGCUGGCGGUAGGCCUAACACAUGCAAGUCGAACGGCAGCACAGUAAGAGCUUGCUCUUACGGGUGGCGAGUGGCGGACGGGUGAGGAAUACAUCGGAAUCUACUUUUUCGUGGGGGAUAACGUAGGGAAACUUACGCUAAUACCGCAUACGACCUACGGGUGAAAGCAGGGGAUCUUCGGACCUUGCGCGAUUGAAUGAGCCGAUGUCGGAUUAGCUAGUUGGCGGGGUAAAGGCCCACCAAGGCGACGAUCCGUAGCUGGUCUGAGAGGAUGAUCAGCCACACUGGAACUGAGAAACGGUCCAGACUCCUACGGGAGGCAGCAGUGGGGAAUAUUGGACAAUGGGCGCAAGCCUGAUCCAACCAUACCGCGUGGGUGAAGAAGGCCUUCGGGUUGUAAAGCCCUUUUGUUGGGAAAGAAAAGCAGCAGGUUAAUACCCCGCUGUUCUGACGGUACCCAAAGAAUAAGCACCGGCUAACUUCGU
rnacentral:rRNA from 1 species